rnacentral:lncRNA from 1 species
UUUUAUCUUCAAUACAUAAUAUAUAUAAAGAGGCAUUGCAGAAGCAUUGGAGGAUAGAGAGUAAAAGAGAAAAAUAUAAACAAAGUCAUUAAGAGAAAAAUUGAAGUGUUCAAUGAUCAACUUUUCUCUCCAAGGUACAAUUUGAUAUCUUUAUAUAUAAAAGAAAGGUUUUACCUCGAAACCCUAACCCCAUUUUAGUGAAAUAUUUGUUGCCCUAAAACGUAUUUUUGUCUAUUUACUUGAAAGUUAUUAUUAUUAAAAAAAUAUUUUUUUGCACAAUUUCUAGAUUACACUACACGAUUACAUAUUAAAGAAAAAACACGAUAAAAUAUAUACCCACAAUGUUAAAACCGCCAAUUUCCAUUUCCAUUGUUCCUCAAUUCUCGCCAUUAUCGGCAUAUAUGUAAGCAUGGUUAGCCAGAACGGCGUGGGAAACGGCCGGAACGGCCGUUCUGAAAGGGGAACGGUGCUCUCCAUUCCGGAAUUCGUAACCAGAACGGUGUUUUCACUGGGAUUCAUCGGUACGCCGAGAAAUCAGAGGGAUGGGCAAGACGGAGCCACGGAAUGGACCCGACACGGCCGGAACGGUGCCGGAACGGCGCCGGAACAGUAGAAAUAAUAUGAAAAAAAUAUAAUUUGACUAAAAAAAAAGGAAAAAAUGACUAAUUUAACUGAAAAAAAUAUGGAAAAAUAAUAUAAUUAACUUUUUUGUAAUGGCUCGUGACUUUUCUAAUGUUCUUGUUUUUACUGUUUGACUUGUUACUUGUGAAUUUUUUCUUGGAUUCUAAUAUUUUGUAUUAUGAUGAAUUUGAUUUUACUAUUGGGUGUUUAUUUUCACAUCAUCACAUGCACUCCUCUAGGCUAUAGCCUUUCACAUCCAUGUCUCCCACAAGCCACAGUUUCACUCAAUAAUAGAACUAAUAAUAAUACAGAUCGUGGAUUGAUAUGAUCAGCUUUUAUCUUCAAUACAUAAUAUAUAUAAAGAGGCAUUGCAGAAGCAUUGGAGGAUAGAGAGUAAAAGAGAAAAAUAUAAACAAAGUCAUUAAGAGAAAAAUUGAAGUGUUCAAUGAUCAACUUUUCUCUCCAAGGUACAAUUUGAUAUCUUUAUAUAUAAAAGAAAGGUUUUACCUCGAAACCCUAACCCCAUUUUAGUGAAAUAUUUGUUGCCCUAAAACGUAUUUUUGUCUAUUUACUUGAAAGUUAUUAUUAUUAAAAAAAUAUUUUUUUGCACAAUUUCUAGAUUACACUACACGAUUACAUAUUAAAGAAAAAACACGAUAAAAUAUAUACCCACAAUGUUAAAACCGCCAAUUUCCAUUUCCAUUGUUCCUCAAUUCUCGCCAUUAUCGGCAUAUAUGUAAGCAUGGUUAGCCAGAACGGCGUGGGAAACGGCCGGAACGGCCGUUCUGAAAGGGGAACGGUGCUCUCCAUUCCGGAAUUCGUAACCAGAACGGUGUUUUCACUGGGAUUCAUCGGUACGCCGAGAAAUCAGAGGGAUGGGCAAGACGGAGCCACGGAAUGGACCCGACACGGCCGGAACGGUGCCGGAACGGCGCCGGAACAGUAGAAAUAAUAUGAAAAAAAUAUAAUUUGACUAAAAAAAAAGGAAAAAAUGACUAAUUUAACUGAAAAAAAUAUGGAAAAAUAAUAUAAUUAACUUUUUUGUAAUGGCUCGUGACUUUUCUAAUGUUCUUGUUUUUACUGUUUGACUUGUUACUUGUGAAUUUUUUCUUGGAUUCUAAUAUUUUGUAUUAUGAUGAAUUUGAUUUUACUAUUGGGUGUUUAUUUUCACAUCAUCACAUGCACUCCUCUAGGCUAUAGCCUUUCACAUCCAUGUCUCCCACAAGCCACAGUUUCACUCAAUAAUAGAACUAAUAAUAAUACAGAUCGUGGAUUGAUAUGAUCAGCUUUUAUCUUCAAUACAUAAUAUAUAUAAAGAGGCAUUGCAGAAGCAUUGGAGGAUAGAGAGUAAAAGAGAAAAAUAUAAACAAAGUCAUUAAGAGAAAAAUUGAAGUGUUCAAUGAUCAACUUUUCUCUCCAAGGUACAAUUUGAUAUCUUUAUAUAUAAAAGAAAGGUUUUACCUCGAAACCCUAACCCCAUUUUAGUGAAAUAUUUGUUGCCCUAAAACGUAUUUUUGUCUAUUUACUUGAAAGUUAUUAUUAUUAAAAAAAUAUUUUUUUGCACAAUUUCUAGAUUACACUACACGAUUACAUAUUAAAGAAAAAACACGAUAAAAUAUAUACCCACAAUGUUAAAACCGCCAAUUUCCGUUUCCAUUGUUCAUCAAUUCUCGCCAUUAUCGGCAUAUAUGUAAGCAUGGUUAGCCGGAACGGCGUGGGAAACGGCCGGAACGGCCGUUCUGAAAGGGGAACAGUGCCCUCCGUUCCGGAAUCCGUAACCAGAACGGUGUUUUCACUGGGAUUCAUCGGAACGCCGAGAAAUCGGAGGGAUGGGCAAGACGGAGCCACGGAAUGGACCCGACACGGCCGGAACGGUGCCGGAACGGCGCUGGAACAGUAGAAAUAAUAUGAAAAAAAAACAUAAUUUGACUAAAAAAAAUAAAAAAUGACUAAUUUGAUUAACUUUUUUGUAAUGGCUCGUGACUUCUCUACUGUUCUUUUUUUUACUGUUUGACUUGUGACUUGUGAAUUAUUUCUUGGAUUCUAAUAUUUUGUAUUAUGAUGAAUAUUAUUUUACUAUUGGGUGCAGAUUUUCACAUCAUCACAUGCACUACUCUAGGCUAUAGCCUUUCACAUCCAUGUCUCCCACAAGCCACAGUUUCACUCUAUAAUAGAACUAAUAGUAAUACAGAUCGUGGAUUGAUAUCAGCUUUUAUCUUCAAUACAAAAUAUAUAUAGAGAGGCAUUGCAGAGGCAUUGGAGGAUCGAGAGUAAAAGAGAAAAAUAUAAACAAAGUCAUGAAGAAAAAAAUUGAAGUGUUCAAUCAUCAACUCUUCUUUCCAAGGUACAAUUUGAUAUGUUUGUUGUUUUUUAAUUUAUAAUUUUAUACGUCGCUAAAAGAUUGUAGUGCAUAAUUUAAUAUUGAUAGUCAUAUUGUUUUCGUAAUUUAUAAUUUAAUAUAGAAUAUUUAUAGUGAUAUAGUUUUCGUAAUUUAAAAUUUAAUAUAGAAUAUAGAUAGUAUGAAGAACGAAUAAUUGUAAUAAUAUUUUGCAUAUUAUUGUAUUGUAAUAUCGUUAUUAAAAACAUAUUUGAAAUAUAUUGUAUUUCUUUAGUAAUUAAAUUAAAAUGUGUCAUUUCCGGUCGCGACGUUGCAAUGGAACUGGAACGGCAAUGUCCGCGACAAUGCAUUGUUCCGUUCCGGCGAACCAUGUAUGUAAGUCUCAGAAUAACUCCCCAUUUUUCCACUCAUAAAAUUUGUUUUCCUAUUCUCUUUAUAUUUCUUCGCCGUUGUCAACGUUGGCUGCAAUUUUAAUACUACAUAAUCGCAAUGAAGAAAUGGUUAGUGAUCUUUCAGUUUUAGAAUUCAUUUUGCGUGCUCUGAAUUCCUAAAUCGAUCAAUGUUUAGAUUUUUGUUUUUGGGUUUUAUGAAAGUUACCCUUUAAUAAUAGGUUUGGAAUAUAUUUUUUUCUUUAUUUUGUUGAAAUUUCAUUUUAACAACGAUGUUUAUCAACAGUCAGUCUCACAUGCUAUAAUUAAAAAAGUAGAUGUAUAAUUCUUCAAAUUUCCGUGGAGUGUUGUAUGAAAACUGUUAAUUAUUAGUUUUGUUUAGUACACUUCUUAGACAACUUUUUAGCAAUUUUAUUUUUUUAAAUGUUCAUGAUAUUUAGGGAAUCAACUGUGACAUGUGGGGAAUCAAUUGAUGAGUAGUUAUUUGUUCUUUCUAUAAGAAAAGGAAUCGAAAUGUUUGAAGUUGUUGCUAUUUUAUUUGGUGUCACUGUAACAUAUGUUUUUCGUACACCAUGGUCAUAUACUCAUUAUUUUCAGCAAAAAAAAAAAAGAAGUUUUACUAUUUUCUCUAAUAUCUGAUGAUAUAUACAAUAAUCAGAAAAUAAGAAAUCUCACAACAAGUAUAUUAAUAUUGUUUUUCUCUGUUUUUUCACAGGUUUACCUGGUGAUGAGAAUGUCUUUUUGCUUCUUUUAACAGUUUUGUUUAGAGUUGUAUUAGUUUUGUAUUUGGAGGUGUUUUAUGAAGAUUGCUGCUAUCUUGAGAAUUUGGGAUGGCAAAAAAGAAAUCAAAAGCAAGAAGAUUCAUCUCUAGACUGCUCCAUUACAGAAACGAUAAUUGGUGCAUUUAGUUGGGUGCUCACAUGAAUUAGUUGCUGAUGAAUCGAACAUGAGGACGAGACAACAUGGUAUUAAUAUUAUACUAUAAUGAUUAAUAACAAAUGUUUUCUGAUUGGCAAUGUAGUUUUCUUUUCUCCACCCCUCUAAGAUUACUACAUUUCCACAUUUUUCUUUGUUAUGUAUAUCUAUUUGCUCUAUCUGUUGAUAUUAGCAAUUCAUUUUGUAUAUUGAUGUUUUUGCUAUAGUCAUGUAUUAAAUUG